UGGGGAAUCUUCCGCAAUGGACGAAAGUCUGACGGAGCAACGCCGCGUGAGUGAAGACGGCCUUCGGGUUGUAAAGCUCUGUGAUCCGGGACGAAAGAGCCUGAGGUGAAUAGCCUAAGGAAGUGACGGUACCGGAAAAGCAAGCCACGGCUAACUACGUGCCAGCAGCCGCGGUAAUACGGAGGUGGCAAGCGUUGUCCGGAAUUCUUGGGCGUAAAGCGCGCGCAGGCGGCUUCCUAAGUCCAUCUUAAAAGUGCGGGGCUUAACCCCGUGAUGGGAUGGAAACUGGGAAGCUGGAGUAUCGGAGAGGAAAGUGGAAUUCCUAGUGUAGCGGUGAAAUGCGUAGAGAUUAGGAAGAACACCGGUGGCGAAGGCGACUUUCUGGACGAAAACUGACGCUGAGGCGCGAAAGCGUGGGGAGCAAACAGG
rnacentral:rRNA from 1 species